rnacentral:rRNA from 1 species
UACACACACGCUACAAUGGUCUGUACAAUGGGUAGCCAAGCCGCGAGGCGGAGCCAAUCCUGAAAGCAGGCCUACAGUUCAGAUUGCAGUCUGCAACUCGACUGCAUGAAGCCGGAGUUGCUAGUAACCGCAGGUCAGCAAUACUGCGGUGAAUACGUUCCCGGGUCUU